GGUCAACGCCGGUUUCUCCCGAUUCCGGCCACCUCCGGCGACGAACCAUAAUCAUUUGGAAGCGGCUUGCGAUGUAGAUGAUACUCCCCAAAUCUUUUGCAGCGAUUUGAAGCAUGGAGGAAGAAUUGAAGGGCAAUGUUGCGAGCUACGGCUAGAUGAAGGGACUCGUUUGCGUGGUCGCCAACUAGUACUUUUGCAGGCGCUAUUAGUUGAGGUCGGGCGUACAUGGAUCGAGGCAUAGUUGACGAAUAGCUUCCGCACUUCUUUGUUUGGCUCUGAUCUAUUGUGGGUUACUAUUUUGGGUAGUCCA